rnacentral:rRNA from 1 species
UACGGAGGGUGCAAGCGUUAUCCGGAUUCACUGGGUUUAAAGGGUGCGUAGGCGGGUAAGUAAGUCCGUGGUGAAAUCUCUGAGCUUAACUCAGAAACUGCCGUGGAUACUAUUUGCCUUGAAUAUUGUGGAGGUGAGCGGAAUAUGUCAUGUAGCGGUGAAAUGCUUAGAUAUGACAUAGAACACCAAUUGCGAAGGCAGCUCACUACACAAUCAUUGACGCUGAGGCACGAAAGCGUGGGGAGCAAACAGG